AACGCAUAUUGCACUCUCGGGUAUUUUAUUCCCGAGAGUACGCCUUUUUCAGAAUUUAACCUAGGUCCAAAAUCGACCCAUUUUUCUAGUAUAUGCUAGUAAAUGCCGGUCGAUUUUGGGAUUUGGGCUCUGCAGGACUUUUGUUCGGCUGGCCUUAAAUAGUUUCAGCCACAACACCAAAAGCUUGGUCAAUAAGGCGUUAUUGUUGGCACUUUCGGGUCCUUCCCUUUCGCUGGAGCCCAGUUUUAUUUUAGUUUGGCGAAAUAUAUGGAAAAAUGGAAAACAUAUGAAUCUGAAAUAAGGUGAGAAUACCCGCUGGACUUAA
rnacentral:misc_RNA from 1 species